rnacentral:rRNA from 1 species
GCCGGCGACAAGUCGGAGGAAGGUGGGGAUGACGUCAAAUCAUCAUGCCCUUACUGACCUGGGCUACACACGUGCUACAAUGGGCGGUACAAAGGGCUGCGAACCCGCAGGGGGAGCGAAUCCCAAAAAGCCGACUCUCAGUUCGGAUUGCAGGCUGCAACUCGCCUGCAUGAAGCCGGAAUCGCUAGUAAUCGCGGAUCAGCAUGCCGCGGUGAAUACGUUCCCGGGCCUU